AAAUUGAAGAGUUUGAUCAUGGCUCAGAUUGAACGCUGGCGGCAGGCCUAACACAUGCAAGUCGAGCGGUAGCACAGAGAGCUUGCUCUCGGGUGACGAGCGGCGGACGGGUGAGUAAUGUCUGGGAAACUGCCUGAUGGAGGGGGAUAACUACUGGAAACGGUAGCUAAUACCGCAUAAUGUCGCAAGACCAAAGUGGGGGACCUUCGGGCCUCAUGCCAUCAGAUGUGCCCAGAUGGGAUUAGCUAGUAGGUGGGGUAACGGCUCACCUAGGCGACGAUCCCUAGCUGGUCUGAGAGGAUGACCAGCCACACUGGAACUGAGACACGGUCCAGACUCCUACGGGAGGCAGCAGUGGGGAAUAUUGCACAAUGGGCGCAAGCCUGAUGCAGCCAUGCCGCGUGUGUGAAGAAGGCCUUCGGGUUGUAAAGCACUUUCAGCGGGGAGGAAGGCGGUGAGGUUAAUAACCUCAUCGAUUGACGUUACCCGCAGAAGAAGCACCGGCUAACUCCGUGCCAGCAGCCGCGGUAAUACGGAGGGUGCAAGCGUUAAUCGGAAUUACUGGGCGUAAAGCGCACGCAGGCGGUCUGUCAAGUCGGAUGUGAAAUCCCCGGGCUCAACCUGGGAACUGCAUUCGAAACUGGCAGGCUAGAGUCUUGUAGAGGGGGGUAGAAUUCCAGGUGUAGCGGUGAAAUGCGUAGAGAUCUGGAGGAAUACCGGUGGCGAAGGCCCUGGACAAAGACUGACGCUCAGGUGCGAAAGCGUGGGGAGCAAACAGGAUUAGAUACCGGUAGUCCACGCCGUAAACGAUGUCGAUUUGGAGGUUGUGCCCUUGAGGCGUGGCUUCCGGAGCUAACGCGUUAAAUCGACCGCCCGGGAGUACGGCCGCAAGGUUAAAACUCAAAUGAAUUGACGGGGCCCGCACAAGCGGUGGAGCAUGUGGUUUAAUUCGAUGCAACGCGAAGAACCUUACCUGGUCUUGACAUCCACAGAACUUUCCAGAGAUGGAUUGGUGCCUUCGGGAACUGUGAGACAGGUGCUGCAUGGCUGUCGUCAGCUCGUGUUGUGAAAUGUUGGGUUAAGUCCCGCAACGAGCGCAACCCUUAUCCUUUGUUGCCAGCGGUCCGGCCGGGAACUCAAAGGAGACUGCCAGUGAUAAACUGGAGGAAGGUGGGGAUGACGUCAAGUCAUCAUGGCCCUUACGACCGCUACACACGUGCUACAAUGGCAUAUACAAAGAGAAGCGACCUCGCGAGAGCAAGCGGACCUCAUAAAGUAUGUCGUAGUCCGGAUUGAGUCUGCAACUCGACUCCAUGAAGUCGGAAUCGCUAGUAAUCGUAGAUCAGAAUGCUACGGUGAAUACGUUCCCGGGCCUUGUACACACCGCCCGUCACACCAUGGGAGUGGGUUGCAAAAGAAGUAGGUAGCUUAACCUUCGGGAGGGCGCUUACCACUUUGUGAUUCAUGACUGGGGUGAAGUCGUAACAAGGUAACCGUAGGGGAACCUGCGGUUGGAUCACCUCCUUACCUUAAAGAA
rnacentral:rRNA from 1 species